UUUCCUCUCUUUCUCUUUCUUUUUCUUUGUUCUUUUUGUCUGUAACUCUUUCUCUGACUAUGUCACUUUCUUGUCUUUAAACUUUGUGGGUAUUUUAAGUUUGAAACUAUUAAUUUAGUCAUUGGUUUAUUUUUUGGUCGGGAAAAACUCCAUGGUUAAGGUUGUUGAUUUUUUAAAAUUGGUGGUGAUAAAGAAGGAGGUUCUUCAAGACAAAAAGAUACAAGAUUUUUGUCGAUUUUUUCUAUUUGAGUUUUGUAGAUCUGGAUCCGAAAAAAUAAUUAUUUUUUAUAGAUUUUUCAGAUCUGAAUUUUGAAGCAUUGUUUCUUUUCAGAUCUGAUACCUUAUUAUCAAUUUAUUUUUGACCAAACACAGAGGUGUAUUGCACAAAUUAUCUUACUAGUUGGUCCAUAUAUUGUGAUUUCAGCCAUUUUUCUUGGAGCUAUUUUAAAGGUAAGUGUAUCCAUGCGUUUCACAUUCAUCGUAUGUGUAUCUUAAAUGCGUUGAAGUUGAACAUUAGAACAAAUGGGAGAUAGACAAUGCAAGUGGGUGAUUUUGGUUAAUUCAAUGUUCAUGGGGAUUUGUAGCCCACUGUUAAUUCCAUUAUGUACAAUCUGUUAAGUUGCAUAUAUGGUUUUAAAUUCCAUUGUUAGUUCCAUUCCAUACUAGAUUUAGCUUUUGUUCAAAUAUUAAGUUCUAUGAUUUUGCAUAUUUUAGAUAUUAUUAAUGAUUUGUGGGAGUUUUUAACCUCCAAAAAUUAA
rnacentral:lncRNA from 1 species